rnacentral:rRNA from 1 species
UACGUAGGGCGCAAACGUUGUCCGGAAUUAUUGGGCGUAAAGAGCUCGUAGGCGGCUUGUCACGUCGGGUGUGAAAGCCCGGGGCUUAACCCCGGGUCUGCCAGUUCGAUACGGGGCUAGGCUAGAGUGUGGUAGGGGAGGAUCGGAAAUUCCUGGUGUAGCGGUGAAAAUGCGCAGAUAUCAGGAGGAAUACCGAUGGCGAAGGCAGGUCUCUGGGCUGACACUGACGCUCGAUGCACGAAAGCGUGGGGAGCAAACAGG